GACGAACGCUGGCGGCGUGCUUAACACAUGCAAGUCGAGCGAUGAAGCUCCUUCGGGAGUGGAUUAGCGGCGGACGGGUGAGUAACACGUGGGUAACCUGCCUCAUAGAGGGGAAUAGCCUUUCGAAAGGAAGAUUAAUACCGCAUAAGAUUGUAGCUUCGCAUGAAGCAGCAAUUAAAGGAGUAAUCCGCUAUGAGAUGGACCCGCGUCGCAUUAGCUAGUUGGUGAGGUAACGGCUCACCAAGGCGACGAUGCGUAGCCGACCUGAGAGGGUGAUCGGCCACAGUGGGACUGAGACACGGCCCAGACUCCUAUGGGAGGCAGCAGUGGGGAAUAUUGCACAAUGGGGGAAACCCUGAUGCAGCAACGCCGCGUGAGUGAUGACGGUCUUCGGAUUGUAAAGCUCUGUCUUCAGGGACGAUAAUGACGGUACCUGAGGAGGAAGCCACGGCUAACUACGUGCCAGCAGCCGCUGUAA
rnacentral:rRNA from 1 species